AGCAUAUUGCAGAUCAAUAAUCUUAACUGUAAAUGAAAAUUAAUGUUGCCUAUAUGAUAUCAAAAUAUUUAAUUAAUACUUUUCCUCCAAAAGAGAAAGUAAUAAUAAGAUUCUUUAACUCCAGUGAAUUUAUCUUCUCAAUCAAUUUUACGUAUCAAGCGUAUCAAUUUUCAAACUCGUAACAUUUCGACUAUCAAAUCACGGUUCCCAAUGGUACGCAAAAGAAAACAAUUUCGACCGUAGGACAAACAAAAUGCGAUCGUAUUUUCGCACUUUAGACACGCGUACACGUCGAAUCGAGCCACUACUCGAAUUACUAGAGAGCGCUAGCCCGGUUUCUGAAUCGAACGCGUUUCGCGCGAUUAACGUUACGUAAUCCCGUUGAAACGAGAAGCUAAAGCUUGAUCGGGUCCUCCUUUGUCCCGGUCAUCGAGCGUUUAGUCCAACCGCGGUUCCGAUCGAUUGUUCUAAUCGAGACAGGCCGUGUGUAAUUGCUUCCUGCGGAUAUUACGAUUGCCGCCACGAUCGAACACAGUCGUGGUCUGUACAAAAGCUGGGAAAAACAGUUUUGAUCGACAUCACAAAUUCUAACGAUUGGAUCUGUCCAUUUGUCUGACUUCCAUGGACUUGAUGGCACUGCGUUGAUUGCAAAUACCCAGUAUAAUCCACGGUAUCUUGGGAUGCAGCUGGCUGCUGUAACCCCAUGAUGGAAGCCAUCUUCGAUCAGCUACGUCAGUGUCAUCUGCAUGAAAGGGAAAUUGAUAUUUCAUUACUCGAUUCCUAUCAAAUACAUUUUAGCGUUAUUUAAUAUUUACGACGCUACGUAUUUAAUAUAUAUGUCGGAGAAGGAGUCAGGAACAGGGUUGUGGGCGUUUGAUGGACCUCCCUUGGAGUUGGCCAUCGUUGUGUGAUAACGAAGAUACGGCCUGAUGCUACGAGUAUGGACACCACUGAUUCGACAAUCAACAGUGGUGGUUGGGCACUUGCGAUGUUAGUGACGUUGGUCUUAGGUUCGAUGACGAAUCCACGGUCAACGGGAUGAAAGAUAUACUUGCUCUAACUCAAACUCACUGAUUGUCAGGCGCUGCUCCCUUCGUCGGUGGGAUCUCAAGAAAGAAUGAAUUUUCGUCCCAAUGAUGCCACAGAGGAAAACUAUGAUGGGGUGUGUCCAAGGACACGAGAUCAUCGGAUCCGUCGGGUAUAGCCUUCGUUCCGAAAGUAAGGGAAAUUGACGUCGCUGUCAAUUGGUCAGUUUGGGACAAAGACUGUCUGUCCGUUUGGAAAAUCUUGAUUGCCGGAAAAACCCAGGUUUUAUAGCGGGUCCUCGGGCUAACUGGACUUGUGCUGUGUACGUGCCUCAACAUCAGGCGAAGCGCCCGUCCCGUUGACCGCAGCUACGUUCGGCGACUGAUGGUCGCCUUAAGCCCAAGUUUAUUAUCGCAAA